CAUAAAAUAGAUACAGGAUUAAUCAAUCUCCAUCUCUCUACAUCCGUUCACUUCUCAUUCAAUGCCAUUAUCAGUUUCUUCAACUCAACCGUUCCUCUUUGAAUGCAAUCAUCAGAUUCUUGAAUUCAAUAGCCCUGUUCGUUUGCAUAAGUCCUCCCGAGAUGACGCCAGGUCAGUGAUGAUGGUGUUUGGAUGAUGGCAGUGGUAGGUUGUGGACAAAGCGAAGCCCGACGAUGGCUUUAGGGUUCCGUCGCAAGUCAGUCGAGGGGUUAUUAGGAUUUGGGCAGAGCCAUACCUAGGGUUCCGAUUGAUAAUUCCAGAGGUGUAAUCGGUGUUUAAAAGGACGGAUUGAAACAACCCCUCUUCAUCUCGCCAAAACCCUAAUCGAUUCGUCAACCACCACAUCUGCAGGUUUCUCUUUCCCUCUCUACUGGUUUUGUUUCUUAUUUCUUGUAAUAUAUGAACUCAGUCAUGAUUCCUGUUGAAGAUUGAUGGUUAUGAAUUUGUAUUUUUAUGCUUUUGUUAUGUAAUGGUGUCUUUGGUAUUGUGUUUGGGACCAUAGAACCUCUGCUCUAGCCUGUUGUGUUGAUAACAAGUCUAGGUUAAAGAAAUUAAAGGUACUUUUUAUAAUUAAAAACGUGUAAUUGCUUUCGAUUGCAAUUCUGCUGAAUAUUAGGCAAGUUUCCUAUCUUCUAAUUUUAGUUUGCAGUUUAUUAUUGACUUUAACUGUGAUUUAGUUUCAAAUAAAUCCAUUAACGUUGUCUUUGGUUGGUAUUGAAUGCCCAGGUAUGUCUCUUCUAUGGGUGGAACAUUGGACGGGUCAGGUAGGCUGUAUAGCUAGCCAAAUGGGUUUGGGUUAAAACUGCAGAUCCGACCCUGCAGACGGCCAAAAAGUGUCUUACUUUUUGCGGCCCUUAUGGGAAUCACCACCAAAACCGUUCAACGAGAUCCCACAUUAUUAUCAUGAAAACGUGUCGGUGAAGAAUCUCUGCAAGCUUCACGGUUGGAGGAUCCGCGAGUUCCCAAGGCGCGUGUUUGAUGCAGUUCUAUUCAGUAACGAAGUUGACCUUUAACAAUUAGGUGGCAUGAGUUGUACCCUUACGUUACUGAAUUUGUACUCCUUCAGUCAAACUCGACGUUCACAGGGUUACAAACUUGGUUUCGGUUCUGAGUAGCAGGCCACAGUUUCAGGCUUCUUAUAUUGAUUUCGUUCAGAACCAUAGGUGUAUAUAGUUUAUAAGUGAUCUUAUAUGAUUUUUGUCAUAUAAAGAUAGUUUUAGGAUUGUAUUUUUGUCACUUAAGAAGCCACUAAAUGAUUGUAUGAUAUUACAUUUAGUAAUAAAAUAGUCCAAGGAUAGUGUUUAAUGUAUGUAUGCUGUUUGAAGUUGUAAUAAUCGGAUAAUCUAUUGUUUUAAUGUUUAACUAAAUGAUUGAUACUCAUGUUGUUUAAAAUUUUGUUGCUAUCCAGUACCGGCUGCAUACUUCUUUCAAUGGGACAAGAUGAGUUCCAUCGAGAAGCUGUAGACACAUUGAAUUAUGUCGUAUAACAAUCCGAUUACACCGUACAAACCCUCGUAAACAUCACGGGCUAUUUGUCACUGGCAAAAACCGUUAGUGUGGCCCAGGUUUUUCUUACUUCAGAUGUAAAAGACAAUAUUGACAAAUUAAAUGUUGACUUAAACAAUGCUGCUGGUACACUGAGGCAUAAAACACACCUAAACUCACCAAAACUAAGAUUCGUUUUUGAUACUGUGUAAGAUUCCUUUUAUGAACAUGAGGUAAUAAAGUCGUUUAGUUUAGAUUUUGAAAUUAUCCAAUUGUUUUCGAUUCUGUUCAUUGUUUGUUUCAGGCGGUCAUCUAUGAUUGCUAUCGCCAUAGUGAUGCUUCUUGUUUCAGGAGGAGUGAGCGACGGUUGUAAUGGAGUCGGUGGUCUCAGAUGUUGGCGAGACAUGGAUUUAGGUCUGAAUUGCAUUGACGGUUGCAAAGGUGCUGAUGAUGCCGGCGGCUAGGGUUGUUGUCGAGUGUAGAUGGUGGUUAUGCUUCGAACCCUAAAUCUCCUCUCUUUAUCACUCAUCUCAACCAGAUUUUGAGGUAAGUUUUUGACUUUUUUUGUUGUAAUUAUUUGUUUGUUUUUUUCUUUAUUUCUUAUCGCAGGUUUUAUUCAAUACUCGAUAAAUCAUGUUGAUUCGCCUCGGAUCGAUUUGUAUGCAUAAUUCUCUUAUUAUGAUUUAACCUUAAAGUGGUACCAAACCGCGCAUUUCAUGUACGCAACAGCAAGACAGAAGAAAUUGUAUUCAUUGGCGGCACACUGAUGGACCCAGACUCAGUAGAUGGGUGGCACUUGCUCACAGAUCUGAGUGAGCACAUUGGACGAAUCCGCAUAACAAGUGACGAGCUGGCAGUCGGGUUUGCAAGGCGCAGGGUAAUCGUAUUUAAUUUACGAAACCAAAUGAUAUUAGGAGACGAAGAGUUUAGGAGGGAAAUAAACGUGGGCACAGCUGAUGCGUACAAUAGGGCUCUAAUGUUUCUACCGUCUGCUCUUCCAUUCGCCAGAGAUAAACUAGGAAACAGAUGGAUGCUGUGGUUUUAUUUGGUCUGCUAUACAGCGGUGGUGUGAUGGUGGGGCAGGUCAUGAAUGUUGUUUAAUUUGCUUUUGGUGCCUUUGUUUUGGAUUCACAUCAAAUUGGGUUCUUUUAGUUUGUUUUCUGUUUAUUCAUGAUAGAUAUGAUAUUUAUGGUUAUGUCUAUGAAAGGUCAGUACUCUUUAGUUCAAGAUA